GAUGAACGCUAGCGGGAGGCUUAAUACAUGCAAGUCGAACGGCAGCAUUGCUUUAACAAUAGUUUAGUAGAUGGCGAGUGGCGCACGGGUGAGUAACGCGUACGCAACCUACCCUUAACAGGGGGAUAGCCCUGGGAAACUGGGAUUAAUACCCCAUAAGAUUAUAAUGAGGCAUCUCAUAGUAAUAAAAAUUGCGGUGGUUAAGGAUGGGCGUGCGUGCUAUUAGGUAGUUGGUGAGGUAACGGCUCACCAAGCCGACGAUAGCUAGGGGGCGUGAGAGCGUGGACCCCCACACGGGUACUGAGACACGGACCCGACUCCUACGGGAGGCAGCAGUAAGGAAUAUUGGACAAUGGGCGGAAGCCUGAUCCAGCCAUCCCGCGUGCAGGAUGACGGCCCUACGGGUUGUAAACUGCUUUUAUCAGGGAAGAAGGACCUGUACUUGUACAGGGAGAGACGGUACCUGAGGAAUAAGCACCGGCUAACUCCGUG
rnacentral:rRNA from 1 species